UCCCUGUGUCAUUGGUGUAAUGAGUGUGUCAAGCAGGGGUCAUCAGACAAACAUUUGCUCUGUGCCAGAAGGAAGUCUCCCGGAUCCUUUUGGCUUUUACUCGUGUGUUUGUCCUUAUAUUUUGAUGUGUCUGAUGCUGCCAAGGGCUUAGGGCUCAGAGCAAGACCAGUGCCACCUCCAUGCACAGGUAUAUGUGGGCGGGUGAUCUGGACUGAAUCAUCACUCCUUUUCCUUUUAAGCGAGACUUUUGGCCAAGACACUUCUGUUUAUCCUUUUGCUUAUCCCAGCAGAUGCUGAGACAACUUUUAACUUCCAACCAGGCAGCCGUCCAACCAUGGCUGCAUGGGCAAAGGGCACCUCUGCUCAACACCUCUAAGGGAUGUUUGAAUGAAGGCUGCUCUGGCCCAGACGCCAGUUGGUUUCUUGCCAGAUGCAGCAGCAAGGACAGGAGCAGUGCUGUCUGCCAGCCACUCGCUGUGACGUUGCCAGGAAAACCCUGGACACUCCAUGCAUUCUCACCUGCCUAGGUUACUUAUUCAUCUUCAUUUUAAAUCCAAGAUUUACGCUGAGGCUCUGCAGAUAUUUCUCUUCUGAUUCUGUGCUGACACUUCAAUGCCUUGCAUGGGCAACAAAAACCCUUCAGCAUCAUCAGCCAGCUGGGCCAGACUCUGCUCCCUGGGUCCCAACUUCUCCAUGGGCUGGGCUUUGGAGAGUGAGGGGAAAGCCAUCCCUCCAAAGUCCUUUGGCACCACUCUUGCACAGCUGGAUGGGGCUCAGCAUCAUCACCCCAUGACAGACUGUGCAGGCUGCUGGCAGGGCCUGCCAGUGUGGCACAUCUGUGGGGCCAUUUUCACAGUGGCUUUUCAUCCUGGUGAGGGCUUCCUUCUUUGUUUCCUCACUCUAACUUUGCAAGUCAGAACCUUGCCCAAGCUUGGAUUUUCUUGCCCAAGUCUCUCAGCUAGCAUACAAGUCCAUCUCAGAAAAAUGCCAGCAGCCACCAUUGUGGGGACCAGACCAACCCACCAUGAGUGCUGAACCAUGGCUGCAGACCUGGCCUUGGUGAGAUGUGUUGUGUGGGGCUUGCUCACCCAAACUAGGUGUGCCCUGGUCUAGUGGAAGGUGUCCCUGUCCAUGGCAGCAGGGUUGGUACCAGGUGAUCGUUAAGGUCCCUUCCAACCUAAACCAUUCUAUGUUUCUGUGAUUCCCUGCAGAGCUGACACCAUUCACAUCUACUGCAGGGUCCUACUUUGGGGCCUGUACGAUAUUUUCUCUCUUGGAGUUCUGAUUCUUCCCAAGCUGCCAGCAACAUGAGAACUGUUUUCCAACUAUUUCCACAACCUCCUUCACCCCCCUGCCCUUUGUUUUUGUUUUAUUUCUGGAUUAAUGAGCAAUCAUUCACCUGAGAUGAACCUCUGGGUUGAUAACUUUUCUUUGCUGCGUCCAUACCCCUGUAAUAGCAUUACUACCUUUUCCUUGUCGUGGAGUUAUUUAACAUAUAAAGACAGUUUGGUCCUUUUCUUUACAAAGAUGGCUACAAUUCAUGUUCCUUGAUGUUCUAUUAAAACUCUAAUGUGACGUUUUACUACUGUAGAUUGAAAGUAGGGUGCUUUAUGGUGAGAUAGCCAUGUGGCAAGAAAUACAAAACCCUUCUGGAUUACUUAAAAAAAAAAGAAUAAAAAAUAAAAGUUUAAAACAACAGCAACAAAAAUCAUUGUAACACUAUGUAAAACUCCAGAUGAUAAUUUAACUAUUAAACGGAGCUGUUAGUAAUCCCUG